GAUGAACGCUGGCGGUAUGCUUAACACAUGCAAGUCGUACGAAAACUUCGGUUUUAGUGGCGGACGGGUGAGUAACACGUGAGAAUCUGCCUUUAGGAGGGGGAUAACAGCUAGAAAUGACUGCUAAUACCCCAUAUGCCGCAAGGUGAAAUAGUUUUCUGCCUAUAGAAGAGCUCGCGUCUGAUUAGCUUGUUGGUGAGGUAAUGGCUCACCAAGGCGACGAUCAGUAGUUGGUCUAAGAGGAUGGCCAGCCACACUGGGACUGAGACACGGCCCAGACUCCUACGGGAGGCAGCAGUGGGGAAUUUUCCGCAAUGGGCGAAAGCCUGACGGAGCAAUACCGCGUGAGGGAUGAAGGCUCGUGGGUUGUAAAGCUCUUUUCUCAGGAAAGAAGCUCUGACGGUACCUGAGGAAUAAGCAUCGGCUAACUCCGUGCCAGCAGCCGCCGUAACAC
rnacentral:rRNA from 1 species